GAGCGAACAGAAUUAGAUACUCUGGUAGUCCUAGCCGUAAACGAUGAGCACUAGGUGUUGGGAUUUAUCUCAGUGCCGCAGCUAACGCAUUAAGUGCUCCACCUGGGGACUACGGCCGCAAGGUUAAAACUCAAAGGAAUUGACGGGGACCCGCACAAGCGGUGGAACAUGUGGUUUAAUUCGAUGCUACGCGAAGAACCUCACCAGGGCUUGACAUACAAGAAGUAGUGAACCGAAAGGGGAACCACUCGUUAAGUCGAGAACUUGAACAGGUGCUGCAUGGCUGUCGUCAGCUCGUGUCGUGAGAUGUUGGGUUAAGUCCCGCAACGAGCGCAACCAUUGCCCGAUGUUGCUACCCCUAUUUUCAGUUUACUGAAAUUAGGGCGCACUCUUCGGGGACUGCCUGGGAUAACUAGGAGGAAGGUGGAGAUGACGUCAAGUCAGUACGGCCCUUAUGCCCUGGGCUAUACACGUGUUACAAUGGCAGGUACAGAGGGUCGCCAACCCGCGAGGGGGAGCUAAUCUCAAAAAACCUGUCUCAGUUCGGAUAGGAGUCUGCAAUUCGACUCCUUGAAGCCGGAAUCGCUAGUAAUGGGAGAUCAGCUCGCUCCCGUGAAUACGUUCCCGGGUCUUGUACACACCGCCCGUCAAGCGAUGAAAGUUGGAGGUACCCGAAGUCCUAUGUAGAUAGGCCGAAGGUAAAGCCGAUGAUUGGCGCUAAGNCGUAACAAGGUA
rnacentral:rRNA from 1 species